rnacentral:precursor_RNA from 15 species
CCGUUUUAUUUCAUAGGCACAUCCGUGAUCUACCCUGUAGAUCCGGGCUUUUGUAGAAUUUUUAGAUCAGAAGCUCGUCUCUACAGGUAUCUUACGGAUGGAAGACCUCUCAGCCGUCCACA